GCCUCGGGGCCGGCUGAUACUCCAGCUACUGGCUCCGGAGCUGCCGCUUACCUCGGCCGCUGCACAACCGCACGCUGGACGGCGCCUCGGGACGCACCGGGAAUCUGCCGCUGCUGCCGCCGCCUGCUCGGCGCACAAGAUACUGCUACAACACAGCAACUCGACAGCCUCAUUACAGACAGAAGAGUACAAAGGAAAGUACUUCAUGUAGAUAGACUCAAAACCUACAUUAAAAAAAAACCAAAACCAACCAACCAAACAAAACCAACAG